CCUACGGGAGGCUGCAGUGGGGAAUAUUGCACAAUGGGGGAAACACUGAUGCAGCGACGCCGCGUGAGCGAUGAAGUCUUUCGGUAUGUAAAGCUCUAUCAGCAGGGAAGAAAAUGCAGAUACCUGACUAAGAAUCCCCGGCUAACUCCGUACCAGCAGCCGCGGGAAGACGUCGGGGGCAAGCGUUAUCCGGAUUUACUGGGUGUAAAGGGUGCGUAGACGGUCCUGCAAGUCAGUUGUGAAAGCCCGGGGCUGAACCCCUGGACUGCAUUUGGAACUGUAAGGCUAGAGUGUCGGAGAGGCAGGCGGAAUUCCUGGUGUAGCGGUGAAAUGCGUAGAUAUUAGGAGGAACACCAGUGGCGAAGGCGGCCUGCUGGACGAUGACUGACGUUGAGGCUCGAAAGCGUGGGGAGCAAACAGGAUUAGAUACCCGGGUAGUC
rnacentral:rRNA from 1 species